UACGAAGGGGGCUAGCGUUGCUCGGAAUCACUGGGCGUAAAGCGCACGUAGGCGGAUCGCUAAGUCAGGGGUGAAAUCCUGGAGCUCAACUCCAGAACUGCCUUUGAUACUGGCAAUCUCGAGUCCGGGAGAGGUGAGUGGAACUGCGAGUGUAGAGGUGAAAUUCGAUAGAUAUUCGCAAGAACACCAGUGGCGAAGGCGGCUCACUGGCCCGGUACUGACGCUGAGGUGGCGAAAGCGUGGGGAGCAAACAGG
rnacentral:rRNA from 1 species